rnacentral:lncRNA from 1 species
AUGUGCAAUUUCUUAUAUCACCAAGACAUAAUUUUCAAAUUAAGACCUAAGGGCCACCACUUAUGGGAGAUAAUCAAGAUCUUGCAUCAGUACUCAGAUCUCAGCAUUCGGAUCUCCUGGGAGCAUCAUGAUGUAGUGGAGAGAGGCCAAUGCAGUCCCUGGGGUCAGAGUGUGAGAGAGACAUUGGCUGCGUCCUGGCUCUGCCCACUACCAUCUACAGACCUUUAUUUUUUUUUUUUUUUCAUUUUUAAAAAAGUUUUAUCGACGUAUAGGUUUGGAAUUAGCAUAUACACCCUGAGGUGUAUAGAAUGAUUGGCCAACGGGGACCUGCGAGAUAGCACAGAGAACAUUCUGUGAUAAUCUUUGUGGGGCAAGAAUCUAAAAGAGAAUGGCUGUGUGUGUGUACACGGAUAACUGAAUCACUGUGUUGCACAGCAGAAAUUAUCACAACAUUGUUAAUCAACUCUGCCUCCAUCUACAUAACUUAAGAAGAGGGGCUCUUUCUGAGCUUCAGCUUCCUCACUGGAAAACGAGGACCAUCACCGCUAUUUUCCUUACAGAGCUGCUGGGAGAGCAAUAUGGGAUGCAAAACAUGUAGAGAUGCUCUACAAGGGCCGGUGCCCUGUGCUCUCCCCACUCCCACCGGCGCCUUCCCCACCACCCCCACCCAUCGGCCUCCCACUAGCACAUACAAGAAACGGCCAGUUUCUGUUCUUUUCCUUUAUCAAUACUUCCAAAAUCCUCUUUCUAAUCUAUAUAACUACAACCUCAAACUGAUAAGUUUCUUGGGAAGCCAGAACCAGAAAAUGUGCUGUUGGUGGGUCAGUUGACUUGGGAUGCCAGGUUGGAAAAAGAAUGAAUUUUUUUACCAUUUUUGGCUGCAUGAGGAAGUUACAGGACCAGGGAUCAAAUCCAUGUCACAGCAGUGACCCAGGCCACAGCAGUGACAACACCAGAUCCUUAACCACUAAUAAUCAGAUAUAUUCAAAUAUUUGUGUACAGGCUGUACAUUCUAGUAUUGUAAUAGUGAAGGAGUAGAAAUAAAUAAGAUUUCUAAGACUAGGAUACCA